GACGAACGCUGGCGGCGUGCUUAACACAUGCAAGUCGAACGAGUGGCGAAAGGGUGAGUAAUACGUGGGUAACCUGCGCUCUUUUUGGGAUAAGCCUUGGAAACGGGGUCUAAUACCGAAUAAAGGGGGAUGGGCUCGCGGCCUCUCAGCUUGUUGGUGGGGUGAUGGCCUACCAAGGCGGUGACGGGUAGCCGGCCUGAGAGGGUGACCGUCGACAUUGGGACAGAGAUACGGCCCAGACUCCUGCGUGAGGCAGCAGUGGGGGAUAUGGCUGAAUGGGCGCAAGCCGGCUGCCGCGACGCCGUGUGGGUGAUGAAGUUUUUCGGAUUGUAAACAUCUUUCGCUAGCGAUGGGUAGGUGGAUAAGAAGCGCCGGCUAACUACGUGCCAGCAGCCGCGGUAAUUC
rnacentral:rRNA from 1 species